ACCCUUCUUCUCACCCACCACCAGUAGACUGAUCGCCGCCUCCUGAUUCCCGAAGCUCUCAACCUCACCGCUACGCCGGCCGCUGGCGUCGUCGCGCUCUUCUCGCCCCGGCCCGCGCGACCAGACAAGCACAGCGGCCAGCGGCCGCCACCGCCAGCCAAGCCAAGCCAAAGCAGGCAUGGGCUCCCUCUUCAUCAGGUUCCAAGAGGCUGUCAAAACACUGGCUAAGAAUCCGAUGUUUGCUAACAAUCGAUUGUUUGCUCGAGAUCCAAGGCAUCUCCAAUUCGAAGCUGACGUAAAUCGCCUGUUUCUCUACACCAGCUAUUACCGUUUGGGGGCUAAUGCUGAAGAGAAGGACGCAGAGGAGAUUAUUGACAUGGCUAGCAAAGCUUCUGUUUCUGAGCAGCAGAAGCAAGUACAGGAGAAUGUUCACUAUCAACUUACAAAUAUGUGUCAAGCAAUGGAUAGCAUUCUUCUUCCUGAUACAAAAAAUGGUGCUUCAGAAGCUAAUAAUUAUCCUCGGCGUAGUGGGUUGAGUUUCGCUGUUGGCACAGGAGUUGCAUCUGCAAACAAGCCAGAUGUCCCUUCUACUAGGCCUUUAAAUCGCGCUGAAUUGUCAAAUAAAUUUAGGGAUCACUUUCAAUACACCCUUGACAUCAGGCCGUCACAAAUCCCUCACAAAGAUGCAGGGCAAGGUCUGUUCUUAUCUGGAGAAACUAAUGCUGGUGCUGUCCUAGCCAUCUACCCUGGAGUUGUAUAUUCACCUGCUUAUUAUCGAUAUAUCCCUGGAUACCCAAAAAUCGACGCGUGCAACAACUAUCUGAUCACAAGGUAUGAUGGAACAAUAAUUGAUGCCAAACCAUGGCAAUUAGGUGGUGAUAGCAGAGAAAUAUGGGAUGGCUCAGAUUUGGUGGAUUACAAUGCAGUGCCAUCCAAAAGCCAAGAGAGCAACUCUGAUAGGGCAUGGAGGAUGCUCAGCAAGCCUCUGAAGAAGGGUCACACUGAAAAUUUUGGGGAAGUGCUUGAACGACGAAACCCACUCGCUUUUGGUCACUUUGCAAACCAUCCACCAAAAGGGUCAACUCCCAAUGUCAUGAUCUGCCCAUAUGAUUUUCCAUUGACAGAGAAGGACAUGAGAGUCUACAUCCCUAACAUUACUUUUGGUGGUGAAGAAGAGCCCGUUACAAUGAAACGAUUUGGUUCAUUCUGGUUCAAGUCUGGACGUUCUGGUAAUCAGGAAGGGGAGUCUCCAGUUCUGAAGACUCUAGUGCUGGUGAGUACAAGGUCCAUAUGUGAUGAAGAGCUCUUCCUGAACUACCGGUACAGCAACUCGAAGAAGCGACCAGAGUGGUAUAUCCCAGUUGAUGAAGAAGAGGAUAAGAGACGAUGGAGCUAGUUUUGCACAUCUUAGCUGUGAGCCUGUAACAAUUCUUCCUGCAUUGCUUUCUAACAAUUAUUUUUGUCCCGGUGUCGAUCGGCAAAUUGCAACUGGGAGUGAUUUAGCUUCUGAAGUGAGAUGGCAAUUUUAUUAUGCUCAUCUGGAGUCCUUGAUCUUAAUUACCAUUUUGAUGGACGUGUUUCUGCUCAUCUCCUUGGAAUAUGCUUGCCUGGUGACUGGUGCUAUCUCAAUCGAUUCUGAAAGAACACACUGUUCUUUGCUAAGAUGAUAAGAAAUGUACUUUGGUCAAAUGGUUACUCCGGGAAGCCUUAAGAUUUUGAUUUUGCUCGGAGGAAGACUAUCCACCAAGUUAGCUGGCCAAUGUAUUUUAUGAUCUCCAGGAUUAAAUCUUGUGUUGUUCCCCGGUAUUUUGGGGUUGCAAUUGUGCCUUCGCUUUCACAUCGAGCAUCACUUGUUCAGAUUGGUGGCAACAUGCUGAAUAGUGAAUAUUCAUUUUCUGUUGGAGCUGAAUAUUCAAUUGAUGAAGAGCAUCAAAUCAAGUUUAUCAUUACAGGAAGUAUCUAUCCUCCUGCGAGUUAAUUAAGUUGCCAACUCAUUUGGGAAUGGAACAAAAAACCAAAUUAUUGAGAGAACAAGCAAGCUUGCUGUCAGUUUGUCGCAACGUGUUGACAUAAAAUAGGUUAGCAACAGCACAACGAGACACAUUAUUGUACUAAAGCUAGUGUUUGGGGAUUAGUUUCGGUCGGAGUUUGUCUCCACCUGAUCAAAGCUUGAUAUUGCAAUAUACUGACAACAACUAAUGAGAUUUCUUGAGGGGAUGACGAUCA